rnacentral:lncRNA from 1 species
UCAAAACCAAUUGAUCCACUUCAAAUGCAACCAUGGCUUGAAAUAAAGUUCAAUUUUGUCUCACAAAAUCUGAAUUUGGCUUAGUUAGCCAGCCAUUUGGCUCGGUUAGCCCUUCAUCUGGUUCCAUUACUUAAUUUUUGGACUGCAUUUGCCCUUGAAAUGGACACUUGGCAAUUUCUGAAGAAAGGGCAAAACUGAUUUUUCCAUAGUAAUGAACUUUCUUAUAUUGUAAUAGAU